rnacentral:rRNA from 5 species
ACAAACGACUCUCGGCAACGGAUAUCUCGGCUCACGCAUCGAUGAAGAACGUAGCAAAAUGCGAUACUUGGUGUGAAUUGCAGAAUCCCGUGAACCAUCGAGUUUUUGAACGCAAGUUGCGCCCGAAGCCAUUCGGCCGAGGGCACGUCUGCCUGGGCGUCACGC